rnacentral:lncRNA from 1 species
UAGAUCUCCUUUCCAUAAUCUGUUGUACAAAGACCAAAUCCUUGGCUUGGCUAACAUCCUUAGGAAUAAAUUUACUGCUGUUCCUGAAUUUCCUUCGAGUUCCGCAACGCUCAUGUUGUUUUCGGAGAUGAAGGGACUCCUUUACAGACACCAUUAUCUGGAAUGACAUGGAAGGGGCCUGAUACAUGUCUCUUCUAUGAAAGCAUUUUGGCUCCCUUUUUUCUGGAAAAAGGAAUUGGCUGACAUAAAAGCAAGGAGCCUGUGGAUUUGGCAAGAGGAUAAACACAAAGAUUUCUCUUCAAUUUGCAGCAGAAUAUUGCAUUAUGAGAAACAUGAAUAG